rnacentral:rRNA from 1 species
AUAGGGGAGCCGGAGGGAAACCGAGUCUUAACCGGGCGUUAAGUUGCAGGGUAUAGACCCGAAACCCGGUGAUCUAGCCAUGGGCAGGUUGAAGGUUGGGUAACACUAACUGGAGGACCGAACCGACUAAUGUUGAAAAAUUAGCGGAUGACCUGUGGCUGGGGGUGAAAGGCCAAUCAAACCGGGAGAUAGCUGGUUCUCCCCGAAAGCUAUUUAGGUAGCGCCUCGUGAAUUCAUCUCCGGGGGUAGAGCACUGUUUCGGCUAGGGGGCCAUCCCGGCUUACCAACCCGAUGCAAACUGCGAAUACCGGAGAAUGUUAUCACGGGAGACACACGGCGGGUGCUAACGUCCGUCGUGAAGAGGGAAACAACCCAGACCGCCAGCUAAGGUCCCAAAGUCAUGGUUAAGUGGGAAACGAUGUGGGAAGGCCCAGACAGCCAGGAUGUUGGCUUAGAAGCAGCCAUCAUUUAAAGAAAGCGUAAUAGCUCACUGGUCGAGUCGGCCUGCGCGGAAGAUGUAACGGGGCUAAACCAUGCACCGAAGCUGCGGCAGCGACGCUGAUGCGUUGUUGGGUAGGGGAGCGUUCUGUAAGCCUGCGAAGGUGGCCUGUGAGGGUUGCUGGAGGUAUCAGAAGUGCGAAUGCUGACAUAAGUAACGAUAAAGCGGGUGAAAAGCCCGCUCGCCGGAAGACCAAGGGUUCCUGUCCAACGUUAAUCGGGGCAGGGUGAGUCGACCCCUAAGGCGAGGCCGAAAGGCGUAGUCGAUGGGAAACGGGUUAAUAUUCCCGUACUUGGUGUUACUGCGAAGGGGGGACGGAGAAGGCUAUGUUGGCCGGGCGACGGUUGUCCCGGUUUAAGCGUGUAGGUGUGUGUUCCAGGUAAAUCCGGUUCACUUUAACACUGAGGCGUGAUGACGAGGCACUACGGUGCUGAAGCAACAAAUGCCCUGCUUCCAGGAAAAGCCUCUAAGCAUCAGGUAACAUCAAAUCGUACCCCAAACCGACACAGGUGGUCAGGUAGAGAAUACCAAGGCGCUUGAGAGAACUCGGGUGAAGGAACUAGGCAAAAUGGUGCCGUAACUUCGGGAGAAGGCACGCUGACA